UCUCUUUCCCGGCUUCAGUUCAUUCCGCUAUUAUUUCUUUGCAGCGGUGGAAGGAUUUUUGCAGACCAGGAAUCCUACACCCCGUAAAAAAUCCCAGGUUUCUCUCUCCUCUCCUUUUUCUAGGGUUUGAUAUCUUCAUAAACCCUAAGUUCAGGCUCUUCAAUAUUCUCUUCCAAUUUCCUUGAGAUGUCCGGGAGAAAUCGCGGGCCCCCACAUUCAAUGAAGGGCGGGCCCCAUCCUUCCAUGCACGACCCUCCCUUCGCCCGUGGCAUGGGCCCCAUGCCUCCUCACCCCGCCCUUCUCGACGAUCUCCGUGACGGUCCUCCCUUCUUCCGGGGUGGCCCUCGGCCCCCGCCGAUCCCCCCGGCGGCUAUCAUGGAGGAGAGGCUCGCGGGUCAGCACCACGAGAUCCAAGGCCUCCUGGUCGACAACCAACGGUUGGCUGCCACACACGUCGCCCUGAAGCAGGAGCUCGCUGCCGCCCAGCACGAGCUGCAGCUGAUGGCCCACUCCGCGGGUGCGAUGGAGGCCGGGUCGGACAUGCAGCUGAGGGAGCUCUUUGAGAAGUCGAUGAAAAUGGAUGCGGAUCUCCGGGCCGCAGAGGCCAUGCGGUCCGAGCUGAUGCAAGUUCGUUCAGAUAUUCAGAAGCUUAGUGCUUCAAGACAGGAGCUUGCUGGCCAGGUUCAAGCACUCACGCAAGAUUUGAGUAGAGCCACUGCUGAUUUGCAGCAGGCUCCUGCGCUGAAGGCAGAAAUUGAGGCCAUGAAACAGGAGUUGCAGAGGGCAAGAGCUGCCAUUGAGUAUGAGAAGAAAGGACAUGCUGAGAAUUAUGAACAUGGUCAAGCAAUGGAGAAGAAUUUGAUCUUGAUGGCUCGUGAGGUGGAAAAGCUACGUGCGGAGAUUGCUAAUGCAGAGAAAAGGGCACAUGCGACUGCUGCUGCUGCUGUGAACCCAGGUGCAGGUUAUGGUGGAAAUUAUGGCAAUACUGAUGCUGGAUAUGGAGGAAAUACUUAUCCUGCUGGCUAUGGCAUGAAUCCUGUACAAGGUGGUGCGGAAGGUGUUCCACAAUAUGGACCUGGGCCUGGCUCUUGGAGUGCAUAUGACAUGCAACGAGCUCAUGGACGUAGAUGAAUCAGUGUGCAACGUCAUGUGGAGUUGUGCCCGCUUGUUUUGCUUACAUGCAUACUGGGAAAAUUGCUACCGCUCCACAACUUCCAGUUUUCUGCAUUGAAGUGUACCUCACUUCCAUGAGACAGAAAAAUACAAGCAAGGAGGCAGGGAAUGUGGAGGGAUCAUCCCCAAACCAUGGGACAAGAAAUACAAGAAAACACCCUGAGCAGUGAAAAGAUCCUCCUGAAGACCUUUAAAUGGGUGGCUAUGAUCCGAAGUUAUUUCUGGCUAUUGAGUGGCUGCUUGGCAUCAAAUGUAAUGCUGGAAAGCCCUGCUUUGAUACAUAUCAACUUCUUUAAGGGUCUAUUCUCAUCACUGCUAGCAAGACUAAACAGGCAGUUAUUGUAUGAUGCUCGGCCUUGAUUAAAGAGUACCUCGCGCUUAAAGGCUGCACGGACAGUAUAUGUGGGACCAUGUAUCAGUGGUCCAAUCUGAGGAUAAUGGGCUACACUCGUAUUGUGGUUUUACUGGAUGGGCCUUUUUGGUUGAAUGUGAACUGUUGCUAUACUCUCUUUGCUCAACUGCCUGGUUACUUGCUUGCUUUUAAUUGGCAGGGUAAUCCAUAUAGAAGAUUGUUUUUGUUUAAGCUACCCAGAGAGGUUCCGUCAAGACUGGUUUUGAUCACUGAACCAUGGGGCGCCACUUGUACAAAAUGACAACCUGAUCGCACUUGGAUAUUCUGUAAUUGCUAGCUUAGUGGCUAGACUGGCAGUGUACGGUUGGCACUGUUAGACUGUACUUGUGGCGUGAUGUGCUUCAAUCCAAACAUUUGAAUUGUGGGCUCGU